GAAAGGUGAAAAGAACCCCGAACAGGGGAGUGAAAUAGAACCUGAAACCAUACGCUUACAACCUGUCGGAGCGGCUUCGUGCCGUGACGGCGUGCCUAUUGAAUAAUGAGCCUACGAGUUACUAAUCACUGGCGAGGUUAAGUGCACGGAUGCACGGAGCCGAAGCGAAAGCGAGUCUGAACAGGGCGUUUAGUCAGUGGUUGUAGACGCGAAACCUUGCGAUCUACCCUUGAGCAGGUUGAAGGUUGGGUAAAACCAACUGGAGGACCGAACGAAUAAGCGUUGAAAAGCUUCUCGAUGACUUGAGGGUAGGGGUGAAAGGCUAAUCAAGCUGGGAAAUAGCUCGUACUCCCCGAAAUGCCUUUUGGGGCAGCGUUGUAAUAAAGAGUCUACUGGAGGUAGAGCUACUGAUUGGAUGCGGGGGCUUCACCGCCUACCAAAUCCUGACAAACUCCGAAUGCCAGUAGUAUGAUUUACAGCAGUGAGUGACUGGGUGCUAAUGUCCAGUCGCAAAAGAGGAACAACUCAGACCAGCAACUAAGGUCCCGAAGAAUAUGCUAAGUUGAUCUAACGAUGUUUUGUUGCAGAGACAGCUAGGAUGUUAGCUUGGAAGCAGCUAUUCAUUCAAAGAGUGCGUAACAGCUCACUAGUCGAGCGACAGAGCGUGGAUAAUAAACGGGCAUCAAGCAUAUCACCGAAGUUCUGGGCGCGAGAGCGCGGUAGGGGAGCAUUCCAUUCAGCGUCGAAGCAGUUUCGUGAGGAAUUGUGGAGCGUAUGGAAAAGCAAAUGUAGGCAUGAGUAACGAUAAUGCGGGAGAGUAACCCGCACACCGCAAGACCAAGGUUUCCUGAUCAACGCUAAUCGGAUCAGGGUUAGUCGGGUCCUAAGGGUAAGCCGAACGGUGAUCUCGAUGGAUAAUCGGUUAAUAUUCCGAUACUGACAUAUACCUCGAUGGAGAGACGAAGGAACGUAAGUGCCGCCACCUGACGGAAUAGGUGGUUAAAGGGCGUAGAUAUAGGGGCAGAUUAAGAGUUAGUCCUUGCUGAAACCUGACAGUACAGAGAGCCUACGGGCAAUUUGAUAGUGCACCCAAGUCGACUUCCGAGAAAAUCUUCUAAGUUAUAGUAUAUGUCACCCGUACCGUAAACCGACACAGGUGGUCGAGGAGAGUAUCCUAAGGUGCUCGAGUGAAUCACGGUUAAGGAACUAGGCAAAUUAACCCCGUAACUUCGGGAAAAGGGGUCCCUCCGCGAGGAGGGCGCAGCGAAGAGGUCCAGGCGACUGUUUAUCAAAAACACAGGGCUCUGCAAAUUCGAAAGAAGACGUAUAGGGCCUGACACCUGCCCGGUGCUGGAAGGUUAAGAGGGGAUGUCAUCGCAAGAGAAGCAUUGAAUCGAAGCCCCAGUAAACGGCGGCCGUAACUAUAACGGUCCUAAGGUAGCGAAAUUCCUUGUCGGGUAAGUUCCGACCUGCACGAAUGGUGUAACGAUCUGGACACUGUCUCAACCGUGAGCUCGGUGAAAUUGUAGUCCCGGUGAUGAUGCCGGGUACCCGCAACGGGACGAAAAGACCCCGUGAACCUUUACUAUAGCUUAACGCUGAAUUUGGGUACACAAUGUGUAGGAUAGGCCGGAGGCUUUGAAGCGGGCACGCCAGUGUUCGUGGAGCCGACGUUGAAAUACGGCCCUUUGUGUAUUUGAGUUCUAACCCUGCGAAGGGGACACCGUUUGGUGGGUAGUUUGACUGGGGUGGUCGCCUCCAAAAGCGUAACGGAGGCUUCCCAAGGUACCCUCAGCACGAAUGGUAACCGUGCGCGGAGUGCAAUAGCAUAAGGGUGCUUGACUGUGAGACAUACAAGUCGACCAGGUACGAAAGUAGGGUAUAGUGAUCCGGUGGUUCUGCGUGGACUGGCCAUCGCUCAAAGGAUAAAAGGUACUCCGGGGAUAACAGGCUGAUCGCCGCCAAGAGCUCAUAUCGACGCGGCGGUUUGGCACCUCGAUGUCGGCUCGUCACAUCCUGGGGCUGGAGAAGGUCCCAAGGGUUCGGCUGUUCGCCGAUUAAAGUGGCACGCGAGCUGGGUUCAGAACGUCGUGAGACAGUUCGGUCUCUAUCUGUUGCGGGCGUAGGAAGAUUGAGGGGUCCUGACUUUAGUACGAGAGGACCGAGUUGGACGAACCUCCGGUGUAUCGGUUAUGCUGCCAAGUGUACUGCCGAGUAGCCGCGUUCGGUCUGGAUAAGCGCUGAAAGCAUCUAAGCGCGAAGCCAUCCCCAAGAUAAGUCUUCCCUUGA
rnacentral:rRNA from 1 species